rnacentral:rRNA from 1 species
AGAAUCAACGCUGGCGGCGUGCCUAACACAUGCAAGUCGAACGAGAAAGUGGAGCAAUCCAUGAGUACAGUGGCGUACGGGUGAGUAACACGUGACUAACCUACCCUCGAGUGGGGAAUAAACCUCGGGAAACCGGGGCUAAUACCGCAUAACAUCCACGGAUCAAAUGCGUAAGCAGCUUGAGGAGGGGGUCGCGGCUGAUUAGCUAGUUGGCGGGGUAAUGGCCCGCCAAGGCAGUGAUCAGUAGCCGGCCUGAGAGGGCGCACGGCCACACUGGAACUGAAACACGGUCCAGACUCCUACGGGAGGCAGCAGUGGGGAAUUUUGCGCAAUGGGGGAAACCCUGACGCAGCAACGCCGCGUGGAGGAUUAAAGCCCCUUGGGGUGUAAACUCCUUUCGAUCGGGACAGUUAUGGACGGUACCGGAAGAAGAAGCACCGGCUAACUCUGCGCCAGCAGCCGC